AGUUGCAUUGACGCACUUCCUGACAUGCGUACAAGCGACUUUUGAAGCCGGCGGCGGCCAUUUUGGGUGCCCAUUGAAGGGCAAAGCGACACCGGAAGUUACGUCGAUGCAACUUCCGGUGUCACACGGCUGCCGGUCCCGGAUUCUGCAGUCCGGGACUUGGAAGGUAAGCUGAGAACACCUGUAACUAACUGGAGGCUGAAAAAUGGAAGAGUUCAAGGGGAUGGGGUGUUUCCUGAUCCAGCUUCAAAAGCUCUCCCCUUCCCAUCUUAUUUUCCUUGAAGAUGUGUUAGGCAUCCCAGAAGAACUCCUCUCCCCGCCAUUGCCCCAAUGGCCCAUCAUGCUGCCUAACAGCAUUUUGCAGCGCUUGAGACAUUUAGAGCACGUGGCUUUCCCGAAAGGAUCAUGGGGACUGUAGUUUACCCAUGAUAGAGCUGUAAUUCCCAGCACCCUUAAUGAGUGGCAGUUCCUAAUAUUCUUUGAGGAAAGCCAUGUGAUUUAAAUGUCCUUCAAUUGCAUGGUGUGGAUGUGACCAAGGAGACAUGUAGCACUUCCAAGAGCCUCUGUAAUAGUUUCUGAGGCUAGGCUAGCCAGCAUCCCCAAUAGGAGAAAUACUUUGACAGAGUAAAAUGGCAGCAUUUCUAUGGGUGGGUCAGGAGUGGAGUCAGUCUAGAAAUAUAGGGGAGACUGUACUAGCUGUUUAUUCAGGGCAAAUGUGCCAUGUGUGCUCCAUUUUUUUUUGGCCAUCAUUAUAAGUGCAGGUUUUUCAACUUUUCAAAGUGAAGGAAGCCUGUGGAGUUUCACUUGCUUGUUCCAAGGCCAUAUUUAUCCUUCAAUUUAUUCACUCUUUGUGGGAAAUUAGACCUUUGAUGGUAUUUUAAUGCACUUUAAAUGGUUUAAUUUCUUUGGAUCUGGCACUAUGAAAAGAUGUUGAUUUCAAAUCUAACAUCAUGUCAAUAGAGUGGAAAUAUUUAAUAGGCUUAAAUAGCUCAUUGGAGUUAAAUUAGUUUGUUGAAACCGGCUUAGACAUUAAGGUGGUUGUUUUGAAUGCAUACAAAUUUAGUAGUAUUGAGCCAGGAAUAUAUCAUUUUUACAGGCAUCAGUUCACAAGCUAAUUUAUGCAUCUCCUGUUUGCAUCCUUUGUUUCUACCACACCAACAGCACUGGUGUGCACAGUAUAAAAAUGAAGCUGUAAAAAUGUAAUCUGACAAAGACAUUUGCAUCUCUAUGCAUUUCUUGUUACUAUAAAACAACAGAAUUCUUGGAAUUAGCAAGAUGCCAAGGGCUGCCCUUGAAGCUGACCCAGAAACUCCAGCGGGUGCAGAAUGCUGCGGCGAGGCUCCUUACGGGAUCCCUGCCGCAGGACCACAUUCAUCCAGUGCUUCACCAGCUGCACUGGCUCCCGGUGGAGUACAGGAUCAGAUUUAAGGUGCUGGUUUUGACCUUUAAAGCCUUAUGUGGCUUAGGACCCUCAUACCUACGGGACCGCCUCUCCUGGUAUGCCCCGCGGAGGACCUUAAGGUCCACAAAUAACAACAUUUUGCAGAUCCCGAGCCAUAAGGUGGUUAGACUGGCCUCAACCAGGGCCAGGGCCUUUUCAGUACUGGCCCCAACUUAGUGGAACACUCUCUCACAGGAGACCAGGGCCCUGCAGAAUUUGACAUCUUUCCGCAGGGCCUGCAAGAUGGAGCUGUUUUGCCUGGCCUUUGGCCUGGACUCAGUCUGACCCCUAUGUUCUCCUCCCUUAUGGUUUUGAUUUGGGCCAUUUCAAAAUGAGGCUGCAUUUUAAAAUUUUAAAAAUUUUAAAUUUAAAUUGUAUUUUAACCUGUAUUUUAACUAAUUGUUUUUCUUUUUUACGUUUUGUGGUUUUGUUGGUGUCAGCUGCCCUGAGCCUGGUUUUGACUGGGGAGGGCGGGGUAUAAAUAAAAAUUUAUUAUUAUUAUUAUUAUUAAUUAUCUAGAAACACAGAAUGGAAAAAAAAGUCGCUCUCUCUCACACAUACACACACAAAAUCUAUAUCUAUCUAUCUAUCUAUCUAUCAUCAUCAUUUGGUACUUCAAAAAGUAUUCAUUUUCUAUUGUGCUGACACUUCCCAUAUAAAAUUUGUAUACUGCCCUUCACCUGAAAAUCUCAGGGCAGUUCACAACAUAAAAUUACAAUAUAAAAGCACAAAAUACAUGAUAUAAACAAGAACAACCCCUCCCAGCAAACCAGUAACUCCACUGCCCACCACCCUCUUCCACUAAUAUGGUGAAGUUGUUUACUGCUGCUUCUUUUUUCUUUUUUCUUUACUAAGGUUUAGACAAAUCAUAGAAAACAGAAAAAGAGCUGAAUAUCACUUUCCCCCAUUUUUUGGUGAAUAUAUCACGGAUACCCAUGAGAUACAAGUAUCUCAUCUUCUCAAAGCUUUAGAACAGGCAUAGUGUUCUGUGGUUCUCAGUUACAAUAAUUCCGGGUGGCCUGUUUGGGGUUCUAAGGGGGAGGGAUCCUGAAUAUUGAAAAAAACUGCAAUGUUGUUGCCAAGCCCCAGGCAUGUGUUUGAGCAGGCAUCUCCAAACUCGGCCCUCCAUAUGUUUGGGACUACAAUUCCCAUCAUCCCUGACCACUGGUCCUGUUAGCUAGGCAUGAUGGGAAUUUUAGUCCCAAACAUUUGGAGGGCCCGAGUUUGCUUAUGCCUGCUUUAGAAUGCUGGGAGUUGUGGGGAAUUCUGAACUGUGAGCAUGCUGUUCUAACCCUUAAGGUGAUUGUUGCCAGGGAUCCGAUCUGUUAUCUCACCCUCCACCACAAUUAAAGCUGACUCAAAUCCUCUGCCGGAGGUAAUUGACUCCACUUGCCCAAUGGUAGGGCCACCUGUGCCUACCUGCUCACAUAAGCAGUGACUACACUCAGCUACACCUUCUGCUACAGACUGGCUGUCUUUGUUACCUGUAGAAUUAUGCAGUCGAGGCUGACUUAGUCAUGAGCCAGCCCUUCAUUCAGAGCCCCCAUCUUGGCUAACGAGUCUCUCAGCACAGCAUCUUCCGAUUUCGUCUUGUGUAUGGAGAGCUCAAGGUUAGCAUUGGGGGCUUUAACCUGAGGAGGAAAUUGAGAUGCUGAAUUUCACGUCCUACUCCAGGCUGCUCCCCCUUCAAGGCGUAGCAAUGGUGCCUCAGAUGAGAAGCUCUGCUUUAGGGAACAGAGAUCCAUAAACUCAUGCCUAAUUAACUUUAUGGGGGAAUCCAGAUUUGACGAUAGAUAGGCAGUCUUUUUGUGUGUGGAAGAAAUGGGUCACUUGUGGAAUUUAUAUAUUAAAUCAGCUAGACGGCAUUUUUGUUGUCGUCUUCUAUAUUGCUGUUUAAAUGUCAUUUACUGAGUGCUGAAUGGUAGCAUCUUCAAUUACAUCCGUUGGUGUCUACAAUAUUUGUGAACUGUGUGCUUUGGGUGCUCCUAAAUUGUUAGAUCGACUUAUUGGAUCUUCCCAGAAAGCUAAAUCCAUGAAUACUGCUUAUAAAUGCUCCUCAGCCUACACAUGGUUUAUGCUCUCAUACCCCACUCAAUGUUGUGGGCACAAUUUAAUAUGCUGCUCUAAAAGGCUGGUUUUCAAUACACCAUGGGUUGCAUACAAGACUAGUUUGGGACCCACUGAAGUCAAAGGGACUUAAGUCAUGAACAUGUCCAACUGACCUCAGGGGGAACUAAGUUCAACCAACUGAGCUUGGCUUUAACCAGAAAUGUUUGCAUUUGUGAAGCUGCAGAGCAGGCCUGGACCACCCACCCAUGAGGCAAGGUGAGACAAUUACGUCAUGCGGCAGCAUCAAUGGGGCCACAGUUCUGGCCUGCAAGGAAAGCAUUGUCCGUUGCUGCUGCUGACACAGUGCCAGAGAUAACUGCAGCAUGCUGGAUCUGCCACCUCCAUAGCUGCCUCCCCCCAUGCUACCUCUGGAGUGGCUUCUUGGUGUUUGGGGGAUGCUUUUCAUCCCACCCCCCAGCUGCUGCUGCUGCUGCUGCUGCUGCAAUGGUCUUUGAUUCUCACUUCAAUCAUUGGGUAAGGUUGAUUUGAUUCCUCCCACUCUCCUGUUCCUGAUAUAGAUCUUCACUUCCUCCCUUGUUCCUGGUGUAGAUCUUCGCUCACCCCUU